UGCAAGCCUUGACUGUGCCAUGAGCCAGCUGGCCAGAACUGAGUGCCAUGUAGUUGCUGCAAUGUGCCUGGCAGGCUCAACAUUGUAGGGAAAGUUUGUUAGGUCUGCUUACAAAAUGCCAUAUAACUGGAUGCCAAUAUGAUAGUACCACACAAGACUAAUGCAAGAGGAAGUUUUGUGGACUCUCAGGGAACCAAGAGGAGACAUACUGAUAUAUGUGGAUAGGAAACCAGCCCUGAUUUUCAGCAGCUGAGAAUCAGGGUAAAAACUGCACAGGUGCCACACAGCACAAAGCCAGGUUACUGUAGAAAGUCAUUAUCUGGAAUUUACAAUUUUCCUGAGCCAAACCUUCCAAAGAAGCAGCAAAUAAGUACAACAAGAUAUUCACAAAACAGCAAUAAGAAAGUGCUAAGAAUCACAGCCUGCAGGUUGGAAUGCAGCUAUACCAUGCUGAGUACUGCUUUAGCACAGAAUUCCACACUAAGCAUUUCAAAUACCACUGUACGCCGCCAUCUCAACAGAGCUGAAGAUCCUGCUGUGCUUGGUGCUGAGCUGAGGCACCGAAGGAUGUGGAUGUCAAAUACCUGCAUUCCUUCUCCACUCAGACACUCAGUUGCAAGUCUUUGUAAAGCAUUUCUAGAAGCAACU